rnacentral:rRNA from 1 species
AGUGAGUAGCUUGCUAUGAGCUGUUUUAGCGGCGGACGGGUGAGUAACGCGUGGGUAACCUGCCUCACACUGGGGGAUAACAGUUAGAAAUAGCUGCUAAUACCGCAUAAGCGCACAGUACCGCAUGGUACGGUGUGAAAAACUCCGGUGGUAUGAGAUGGACCCGCGUCUGAUUAGCCAGUUGGCGGGGUAACGGCCCACCAAAGCGACGAUCAGUAGCCGACCUGAGAGGGUGACCGGCCACAUUGGGACUGAGACACGGCCCAAACUCC